AACGAACGCUGGCGGCAUGCCUAACACAUGCAAGUCGAACGAGACCUUCGGGUCUAGUGGCGCACGGGUGCGUAACGCGUGGGAAUCUGCCCUUGGGUUCGGAAUAACAGUUGGAAACGACUGCUAAUACCGGAUGAUGACGUAAGUCCAAAGAUUUAUCGCCCAAGGAUGAGCCCGCGUAGGAUUAGCUAGUUGGUGAGGUAAAGGCUCACCAAGGCGACGAUCCUUAGCUGGUCUGAGAGGAUGAUCAGCCACACUGGGACUGGGACACGGCCCAGACUCCUACGGGAGGCAGCAGUGGGGAAUAUUGGAAAAUGGGCGAAAGCCUGAUCCAGCAAUGCCGCGUGAGUGAUGAAGGCCUUAGGGUUGUAAAGCUCUUUUACCCGGGAUGACAAUGACAGUACCGGGAGAAUAAGCUCCGGCUAACUCCGUG
rnacentral:rRNA from 1 species